CGCAGUGUAGCCUAACGGCAAGGCGCUUGGCUCAUAACCAAGAAGAUGCGGGUUCAACUCCCGCCACUGCAACC
rnacentral:tRNA from 1 species